GCCAGCAUGGCAUAGUGGUUUGAGCAUUGGACUGCAACUCUGGAGACCAAGGUUCAAUUCCCAGCUUGACC